rnacentral:lncRNA from 1 species
GGCUGCGCAGCUGAGCACAGGGUGCCCAGUGAGCUGCAGCAGCACCACUGAAGGCUGUCCUCACAACAGACCCUGGGGAGUCAUUUCAUCCCAAUUUACAGAUGAGGAAAUGGAAGUGCAAGGAAGUCAAGUGAUGCCCUCAUUAUCAUACAGCCAGUAAGAGCAGAGCUUGCCAGGCACGUAGGCUUGCCUGAUUCCAAACACCAGAGCAGCAAAUAAGACUUGUGCUCCCAACCAUACCUUCUCCCAGCCCACCAUGAGGAUUUUCACAUCCUGAGCUUUUGCCAACAUAGUUUCCUGUGCUUAGAGUUUAUCUGCCAGCUCAGAUGUCACCUCCUCUAAGAAGCCUCCCAUUUCCACUCUCCUGCUAACAGUUGGAGUGGAGCACAUGAGUCUUUGACUGAAGCAGAUUAGUACAGCAGUCAUUACUAAGGAAAAUGAAACAAUCUCUAGGCCACAGGAAAUCGCACAAGAUUAGAAAAUCCCUGUGGUAUGAGAGAAAAAACUUCAAGUGGAUUUCUGAGUCCCAUAAAUGACGUAAAGAAUAGCAGAUGUUCAAAGACUCAG